rnacentral:rRNA from 1 species
UACGUAGGGUGCAAGCGUUAAUCGGAAUUACUGGGCGUAAAGCGUGCGCAGGCGGUUGUGCAAGACAGAUGUGAAAUCCCCGGGCUUAACCUGGGAACUGCAUUUGUGACUGCACGGCUAGAGUACGGCAGAGGGGGGUGGAAUUCCACGUGUAGCAGUGAAAUGCGUAGAGAUGUGGAGGAACACCGAUAGCGAAGGCAGCCCCCUGGGCUAACACUGACGCUCAUGCACGAAAGCGUGGGGAGCAAACAGG